UCAAAGACCACUCGCUCCCAUUCGCAGAGGACACGCCAUUAACAGGGAUGCUAUGGUAUCCUAGCAGCUGAAUUUACCGGAGCAUCUCGUACAUCUUUUUCCUUAUCCAGAUAACAGGACAGUGCUUUUAUUUUUUUAAGGAUGCAAUAUAAGAAUGGUUGAAUACCAUCUCGGAUGAAUGGAAAUGUUGCUCAGAUGACUAAUUUGUUUCUUGGACGCUUGUUUCUUGGACGUCGGCCAUCUUUCAACAUGUAUUAUGAGUGGAAGGAGAAGACAUAGUGAAAGUGUUAUGGUUAUAGUUAUGGGACAAAUAUGAUUUGACAUACUGCAUAGUAAGGAGAAGCUGGCAUUCUAAUGUGAUGGCCUGCUGCCAACACAUCAUUCAGCAAAGACCACCUGAAAGGAUGUUUUCACUGAUGGGCAAGACAGCCACAAGCAGGCGGCCAACUACAUCUUGGCAAGGACCGAAGAAAAGAGGAAAGCGGGAAUGAAGAGGAAAGAAGAGAACACCCCCUGCACAGAUCUGUGAGAGGGGCUGAGCUGGUAGCACAAACCAUGGGGAGUACCCAAGCAUGUGUCAGGUUGGCAUUCAUCUGAGAAUGUCUUGGCAAACGAUGCAUUCCUCUUCCCUCCCACCCGCGCUCACACCACAAACACACUGUUGCACUGCUUGGAACACAUGGUACAUCAGCAGCGGCAUCUGGCCCGCGCGACUCCCGGCAGCUGCGCUUCGUCUUCACCAGUUGGGAGUCUUGGCACUGCCACUUCAUCAACUACCUGUGGCUCCUCCCGGGUUGUAAAAGGCAAGCGAUAAAUUAUUCCAAUUGCUGCAGCUGCAAACUUGAUUUUCUUCCAAGAGAUUCACUGUAAACAUGAGUACCUCACAGCGCAUACACGCCACCCAC